rnacentral:misc_RNA from 1 species
UACGUAGGUGGCGAGCGUUAUUCGGAUUUAUUGGGCGUAAAGGGUUCGUAGGGGGCUGGUUAAGUCGGAUGUGAAAGCCUGCAGCUCAACUGCAGAAAGCCAUUCGAUACUGGCCGGCUAGAGGAUCGGAGAGGAGAGCGGAAUUCCUGGUGUAGCGGUGGAAUGCGUAGAUAUCAGGAGGAACGCCGACGGCGAAGGCAGCUCUCUGGACGAUACCUGACCCUGAGGAACGAAAGCUAGGGGAGCAAACAGG